rnacentral:rRNA from 1 species
AUUGAACGCUGGCGGCAGGCCUAACACAUGCAAGUCGAGCGAAGCCUUCGGGCUUAGCGGCGGACGGGUGAGUAACGCGUGGGAACGUGCCCUUUGGUACGGAAUAGCCCCGGGAAACUGGGAGUAAUACCGUAUGUGGUCGAGAGACGAAAGAUUUAUCGCCAAAGGAUCGGCCCGCGUUGGAUUAGGUAGUUGGUGGGGUAAUGGCCUACCAAGCCGACGAUCCAUAGCUGGUUUGAGAGGAUGAUCAGCCACACUGGGACUGAGACACGGCCCAGACUCCUACGGGAGGCAGCAGUGGGGAAUCUUAGACAAUGGGGGAAACCCUGAUCCAGCCAUGCCGCGUGAGUGAUGAAGGCCUUAGGGUUGUAAAGCUCUUUCACCGAUGAAGAUAAUGACGGUAGUCGGAGAAGAAGCCCCGGCUAACUUCGUGCCAGCAGCCGCCGUAAAAC